GAGGGCGUAGCUCAGUGGCAGAGUGUGUGCUUAGCAUGCAUGAGGUCCUGGGUUCAAUCCUCAGUAUCUCUA
rnacentral:tRNA from 1 species